AAGGUCCCUCACCCAAAAGGAACUAGUGGCAUGCUUGCUAGUUUCGCUCGAGGAUAGGGCCGCGUCCGAUCAGGUCGCUGGUGAGGUAACGGCUCACCAAGCCUAUAACCGGUACGGGCCGUGAGAGCGGGAGCCCGGAGAUGGGCACUGAGAUAAGGGCCCAGGCCCUACGGGGCGCAGCAGGCGCGAAAACUUCGCAAUGCGCGAAAGCGUGACGAGGUCACCCCGAGUGCCGUCCGCUGAGGAUGGCUUUUGCCCGGUCUAACCAGCCAGGUGAAUAAGGGGAGGGCAAGUCUGGUGUCAGCCGCCGCGGUAAUACCAGCUCCCCGAGUGGUUGGGACGAUUAUUGGGUCUGAAGCGUCCGUAGCCGGUCGGAAAAGUUCCCCGUUAAAUCUGGCGAUCCAAUCGUUGGGCUGCGGGGAAUACUCUUCGACUUGGGGGCGAGGGAGGUCGGCGGUAGUCCCGGGGUAGGGGCGAAAUCCUAUAAUCCCGGGAGGACCACCAGUGGCGAAGGCGGCCGACUAAAACGCGCCCGACGGUGAGGGACGAAAGCUGGGGGAGCGAACGGGAUUAGAUACCCCGGUAGUCCCAGCUGUAAGCGAUGCAGGCUAGGUGUUGGGACGGCUACGAGCUGUUCCAGUGCCGCAGGGAAGCCAUUA
rnacentral:rRNA from 1 species